CCUACGGGAGGCUGCAGUGAGGAAUAUUGGUCAAUGGACGCAAGUCUGAACCAGCCAUGCCGCGUGCGGGAAGACGGCUCUAUGAGUUGUAAACUGCUUUUGUACGAGGGUAAAUCCCGAUACGUGUAUCGGGUUGAAAGUAUCGUACGAAUAAGGAUCGGCUAACUCCGUGCCAGCAGCCGCGGUAAUACGGAGGAUUCAAGCGUUAUCCGGAUUUAUUGGGUUUAAAGGGUGCGUAGGCGGGUCGAUAAGGUAGAUGUGAAAUCCCGGGGCUUAACCCCGGCACUGCCUCUGAUACUGUAGGGCUAGAGUUGAGUUGAGGUAGGCGGAAUGUAUGGAGUAGCGGUGAAAUGCAUAGAGAUCACAUAGAACACCGAUAGCGAAGGCAGCUUACCAAACUACGACUGACGUUGAGGCACGAAAGCGUGGGGAGCAAACAGGAUUAGAUACCCGGGUAGUC
rnacentral:rRNA from 1 species